AUCGAUUUCAGCUUGUAAUCUUUGGAUUUUGGUCCACAUAGCAUCUAGUUGCAAAUUCCGGCACUGUGGGAAAGAAAUCUGCCGUUGCUUUUAAAUUUUGGCACUGUGGGAAAGAAAAUCUGCCGCUGCUUUGUUGACUCUGCCCUCUCAUUGUUGCAGAAGUUAUCCCUUUUUUGUCCUUGUGAAAGAAAAAUCUGCUUACCCAACUUAAGAUUCAUGUUAAGUUGGUUGAAAGGU
rnacentral:misc_RNA from 1 species